GAGUUUGAUCAUGGCUCAGAUUGAACGCUGGCGGCAUGCCUUACACAUGCAAGUCGAACGGCAGCACGGGAGCUUGCUCCUGGUGGCGAGUGGCGAACGGGUGAGUAAUGCCUAGGAAUCUGCCUGGUAGUGGGGGACAACGUUUCGAAAGGAACGCUAAUACCGCAUACGUCCUACGGGAGAAAGCAGGGGACCUUCGGGCCUUGCGCUAUCAGAUGAGCCUAGGUCGGAUUAGCUAGUUGGUGGGGUAAUGGCUCACCAAGGCGACGAUCCGUAACUGGUCUGAGAGGAUGAUCAGUCACACUGGAACUGAGACACGGUCCAGACUCCUACGGGAGGCAGCAGUGGGGAAUAUUGGACAAUGGGCGAAAGCCUGAUCCAGCCAUGCCGCGUGUGUGAAGAAGGUCUUCGGAUUGUAAAGCAC
rnacentral:rRNA from 1 species